AUCGCUUUUCAUCCUUUUGGCUAAGAUCAAGUGUAGUAUCUGUUCUUAUCAGUUUAAUAUCUGAUACAUUCUAUACCUGAGGACAAUAUAUUAAAUGGAUUUUUUUUUAGAGCAGGGAGUCGGAAUAGGAGCUUGCUCCAUCCGCUCCAUGCAUCGACCUGGUAUUGCAGUACUUCCAGGAAUGGUGCACCUCCU
rfam:Erinaceus europaeus unplaced genomic scaffold scaffold00136, whole genome shotgun sequence